rnacentral:rRNA from 1 species
AAGUUGAAUGAUGUGGAAACAUGUCAGUCUUCGGACAAUUUGCAAGGUGCUGCAUGGCUGUCGUCAGCUCGUGCCGUGAGGGUGUUGGGUUAAGUCCCGCAACGAGCGCAACCCCCAUCUUUAGUUGCUAGCAGGUAAUGCUGAGGACUCUAAAGAAACUGCCUAUGCAAGUAGUGAGGAAGGCGGGGACGACGUCAAGUCAUCACGGCCCUUACGUCCUGGGCCACACACGUGCUACAAUGGUAGGUACAGAGGGCAGCUACCGGGUGACCGGAUGCGAAUCUCUAAAGCCUAUCUCAGUUCGGAUCGGAGUCUGCAACUCGACUCCGCGAAGCUGGAAUCGCUAGUAAUCGCGCAUCAGCCAUGGCGCGGUGAAUACGUUCCCGGGCCUUGUACACACCGCCCGUCAAGCAAUGGAAGCUGGGGGUGCCUGAAGUCGUAACC